AUUGAAACACCGGUUCCGUACGAUCGUCGAAGUUAAGAAUCAUUGAGUCUGGUCAGUACAUAGAUGGGCAACCGCUUGGGAAUACCAAGUGUUGUAAG